AAAAUGUUUGAACAAUUGGAUUUCAAACAUUUUCGUUUUGUGGAGUGGUGCUCACCAAGUGGUACAGCCCUAAGCAAGUGAACACAAACACAUUUAAGUGUAUUUUGUCUGAUUAGAUGUUAGCCAGUUAUGCUAUUUCAUUCAAAUGUCUGAAAAAAUCAAUUGACUAUUCCCUUUUCCUAAAGGGCAGAGACAGAUAAUCUCACUUCCAGAGAAAUGACUUGGAGAAAAAAAAGUGUUGGUCUUUUUGCUCUUUUGUAAUUAAAUCCGGAUGUACCUCAAAAGACUUAAGACUGUGGUGAUAAGAUGCUUUCCUCAGCAGAAAGGAGGGAAAAAAAACAACUGGAACUCAAAGCUUGAAAUUCUGUGGCAAAACAUGAGAUGUCCAGGAUUGGAGGUUGAAAAGAUUUCACUACAGUGUUCUGCAAUAGUUGGAGCAGAUAACUUUCAGUGUAGCCACAGCCAUGGACUCCAGAUUUCCAGAUUUUCAAGACCUGGACCUGGAACCCGAAAGAGCUUGUCACGAUGCGGCAGGAACACUGGAGGUAGAUUUUUUUUUAUUUUUGAAUUUUGGGACUGUUGACCUUGCUGUGAGAAAAGAGACAACGACUGAGCAAGCACUACCACCAGCACUGUUACUGGGAAUUAGAAGACCUGAGUUUCUGUCCAGACCCUCAGUGCAAACUGAGGAUGCUCCAUCCAAAGUGAAUUAUGUCCUGUGCCUCCUGAUUGCUGAGUGUUCACCUGGACCUUCUGACUACCUUCCCUGUGCUAUUCCAUCAGCCUACAGACCUGGUACCUGGAUUUUUGCCCGAGAUGAUUCCUACCACCUUACUACUGACGAAGACACCCAUUCCAGUGGACCACUGUGACCCAGGAGGCAUUCAGCCAUCAUGAUGUGGCCUUUACCUCCACUCCUGUCUUGUUCUACCCAGAUUCAGCACAGCCCUUUAUAGUGAAGUCAGAGUCCUCAAGCCAAAUAGCUAAAGCUGUUUUAUCACAACAAAGGCCUAGUUUGUUCCAUGAGUGUGCAUUUCAUUUCUUCAGUUAAAGCCUUCAGAGACACACAAUAAAUUUGGACCAGGGGAUUUUUUAGUUAUUAAUGCUCUCUGAAGAAAGGCAACAUCUUUUUGAGAGCAGCAUUGGACCACACCCCACAAUCUCAAAUGAUUGAAAUUCAUGAACAUCUAGGAUCCCGUGAAGGUCACUGGACCCUGUUUUUUCUACUUCAAAUCCUGUAGUAGCCUACUGAAUGAGAAAACAUAUUCUGACCCAUUGGGAUCAAAUCAAAGGCACAGUGAACUCCUCAUAGCAUCUUCUUUGGAAUUACUCAGGAACCAGAACUUUUUACACAAAUGUAAGAAAUUCUACCAAGGAGUCCCCUUACCUAACAGCAUCUCACAAGGCUGCACCAGAUUCCAGAAAAGGCUUCUCUUGAUACAUCAAGCAUUUUGUGACCGACUUAUUCUUAGAUCAUUGGUUUUCCAAAGGCUUUGUGGCCAUGAAGCCCUUUGAGUGAAAACUGUGCAGAAGCCCAGAGUAAAAGUGAAGCUGCUCUGGAUGAAGUAGUGAAGCAAGAGUAGGGGCCUGAAUCCUGCUACAACUAUCUUCCUUUACCACCGUGGUGACACCUAAGGGGACUUCCUUACAACACCUUGAACUCUUCCGAACACAGUUUGAAAACCACUGCCCCAGACAGCAAUAUGUUUGACCUGAAUGGCAUUCCAAUCUUUUCUGUACCUCCACUCAGCACAGUUCAUGUUCAGUAGAUGCUGAACAUUCUUAGAAAUACUGUGUGUGAACUUAGAAAAGUGCAAGAAGACAGGCAUGUCUUUGACCCCAGGAAUGAUCAUUUGCUGAAGAUGGUGUCAAGUGAACCUAGAUUAACAGCCCUCCACUCCAGAUGGAUAUCCAGUGAUUCCUAGAAUGGGAUAUAGCCAGAGAACAAUUCUAUGCACCCUACACUGACAGACUCCCUUAAGCAACACCAGAUGCUCUACUGGUACUUGAAGUACAUGACUUUGAAGUCUUGACCCUCCAUGAAUACCUGAAUUAUCAGCAAGCGGGUUUUGAAGCUGGUGCCUCAUUGAGGCCAUAUUAGAGCAACUUGUACAUUUGACCUCUUGUUAUCAGCCAUGGUACUCUACUUCGUGUGCAAGAGAUAACUAUGAAAGCCAAAUUCAAAUACUGGCAACAUUUCCUAAAGGGGCUCAAUAUCUAUCAUUCGUCUUCUUUUCCAAACUACACAUCACUGUAUGACUCAACCAGUAGCAGUUAUAUUGCCCCUUGGUUUUUAUUCAGUUUAACUACUGUUUCCAAGAUAAAUGAGCUAAUAAGCUUUAAAAAAAAAAAAAAAAAAGGCUGAAUUCUUUUUUCUUCAUCACUGGCAUAUCUGCCUAUUCUCCAGAAUUAUUAUGACUAUUCAGCUCACUUUAACAGUUGAACUUCAAGCGACAAUCUUUGAACACCCCUUCUCAUGUGAUUUAAAAUGAAACCAUUUGGAAAAGUUUCUUCUAGCCAGUAAUAGAUUUUUUUUUUAAUUGCUCUGCCUUGUGCCGAGAGAUGUUCUUUUAAGAUGAAUCUUUUGAUGUCUGAUACCACCAAAUAUAGGUGGUAGGGAGAGUUGGAGGCUGGCCCUUUGAGCAGGCCAUUAGCUUACUUGCUGGGCAUUUCCGAUAGCUUAUUGCCUACCUUUUUGCUGGAAACAAACUGAUUUGAAAAACAAAAUCUAUGAAGACUGCAGCUAAGGAUUUUAUCGGUAGACUUAAGAGCUUUUGUCCUUGUGGAUAUUUUAGUGGAACCACAUCAGUCUCAAUACUGUCAUUUUACACUGACUCAGAGCAGCUGACUUCAUUCCUUGCCAUGAUAUAUAUUUAAGGCAGGCAUUGUAACAGACAUAAAGACAACUUAUCUGUUUCAGCAGGAAGGAUUCAGUUUAUGAACUCUCAGACCAGAUCAUGUUGAACAAGGAGACUUUGAUGUGUGUCAUGAGAAAACUCAUUCUUUACUUCCCAGUCAAUUUAAAGGCCAGCUAUCCUGAGCUACUCGAAUGAAUGCACUGGUUAAACAUUGGAAAUAGUUUGUUUAUAUCCUUGUCUCUCUCUAGGCCAAUUGUGAUUACAUGACUCGACUCUACAUCUCGUCAAACAAGGCCUAGGUCUGGUUGCUGUAGACUGCUCGCCCUCAACAAAUAAAAUCUGGUUGACUAGCCUCCUUGUAUAUACAACUAUUAUUUGUUAAGAAGAAAUUAUCGUCAAUUUUCUACUACCUUCCAAUUGUCAGCUCUUUUUUUCCUCUCUGGUUUUUCCUAUACUUUACAGAAAAAGACAUUGAUCUAUACUGCCAUUCCCUCUAAUCCUGCCAUACUCAGUCAAAAGGAAUGACUUAAGAUGAAGAUGAUCAUCUGCUCGAGUCUAAAAUAUACAUUGUAUAUAAGAAUUGGUGAUUAGAAAAGCAAAAAACCUAAAACUUAAAUCUAGGAGUCUGUAUACUGUCUCCAUGUCUCCAUGCCUCAGAUCUCAUCUAAAUCUUUGAACAGCACCAUUCAACCAAUCUGAGGCCUUGACUUGCUUGUAAGAUGAUUCUCAGAGAUCGGCUGAGUUAAAAAAGAUGACGACUUGAUUACCAAAGAAAGUAGGGCCAACUUUGACAAAUCUGGCUCUGCUGACCCUGUCACUCCCAGAUGUAGCAUAGACUCCUAAACAGAACCUCAAGUCUGAUUGAGGAUAAGGCCUUCUCCUGAGCUGAAAGUUCUUUGGCAGAUGAGCAAGAAACUGAAAGCUGAUGUACCUGACUGGCUCUGUAAGAUCAGAAAACUGUAUCCAGAAUAAGCCCUAUGGAUUAACCCCUGAGUACCCAGAGUAAAAACUAAUUUACAGAACUUCCUUAUUGAUCUGCUGGUUCUUCCAGAUCAUAUUCUGGCUAUUGGUAUGGCUGGCCUUUCUGAAGGUACCCUGCUUGUCUAUUUUCCUGACUCAGCUCUUGCCUGCCUUUUUCACAUGUUGCUGCAAUUAGACUCACCGUGAGGACUACAGUCAAUUUCAGUCUAUCUUGUGCCCAAUACAACAAGGAUUUUUAAUAGUAACAACCCACACCUCACCCACUAGGACUCAAUGUUCACAACAGGAAGGACCAUUGCUGCAUACUCCUUGACCAGCAACUUUUUUGAAGAUAUUUUUAAGUGCAGAGUAGGCCUCUAUUCCUGUAUGUAAUUGUUCAUUUUCAGCACCUGGAACCUCAUCUAUCGGGUCUGGAAGGAAUACAGCAGUUCGAAAGCCGCGUCCAUUUCUCUCCUUCAGUAGUGCAGAAAUGAGUCCGAUUCACCAGUACACACAGAACUGUACCAGUUCAACCUAGCAAAAGAAGAAAAGUUUCCACUGUACUUAAAAUUUACAGCUGACUCAAAUUGCCUCACAGAAUUAUUUGAUGUAGAAGGCUAGUUGUCUUACUUCAGAUCAGCAGGACAGUUGGGCUCUCAGACUCAUGACCACUGAGUUUGCUUGUGUUGAAACUGUGGUUUCAUCCAACAUAUGCUAUUGGACAUGAUUAUUAUUCCAUUCAAAUGGAUUACAGACUUCUUGAGGACAGGACAAACUUAUCUCUCAUGGUGUUUUUUUAGAAUACUUUUAUAACCAAGGAAGAAACCAUGCCAGCUGUUACCAUUCAACUUCUUAAGCAGAGAUUAAGCUUUUUCAUAUCUGUUCUUAUCCUGGACAUCAGUAGUUUUUAAUUGCCCAGCAUCCGUUCCAUCUUGUAACAACUCCCUGAUGUUUCUUAAAACCACCUCUUCCUAUUUUCAGUCUGUGGUUUGGACAGUCUGACCCAACCUUGAGCUUUGUGGGUGAACAUGUAAUUCAGACCUCAUCAAUCAGCAAAUCCAUCUGAACUGUGGAGGAGAAGCUCUCUUUACUGAGGGUGCUUUAGCUUUGUAGGAUGAAAACCUCAAACUAACAGGGCCUACCAUGUAGAGAAUGAAGCCAGUGCAGGGGAAAGCAGAGCCAAAAUAUGGAGAGACUUGAAUCCUGAUGACAGCGUUUGUGCCCCUGGAUCCAACCGUGCCUGAAGCUAGAAUAUCCCCUGGACUUUUCAGUUAUGUGAACCAAUAAAUACCCUUUUUUGCUUAA
rnacentral:lncRNA from 1 species